rnacentral:tRNA from 1 species
GCCUGGGUGGCUCAAUCGGUUGAGUGCCCAACUUCGGCUCAGGUCAUGAUCUCACAGUUCGUGGGUUCAAGCCCCGCAUCAGGCU